rnacentral:rRNA from 1 species
UACGUAGGGUGCAAGCGUUGUCCGGAAUUAUUGGGCAUAAAGAGCUCGUAGGCGGUCUGUCGCGUCGGCUGUGAAAACCCGGGGCUCAACCCCGGGCCUGCAGUCGAUACGGGCAGACUAGAGUGCGGUAGGGGAGACUGGAAUUCCUGGUGUAGCGGUGAAAUGCGCAGAUAUCAGGAGGAACACCGGUGGCGAAGGCGGGUCUCUGGGCCGUAACUGACGCUGAGGAGCGAAAGCGUGGGGAGCGAACAGG